rnacentral:snRNA from 10 species
AGGCUCACAUUAGUCUCGUGGUACCAGGUUCUAGAAGGUGGUUCACCACAUGGGCCAGGCUCAGCCUUUGCUUUGUGAUGACCCCUGCAAAUUCUCAUACUAUCAGAAUCUGGACUGCAUAAUUUCAGGCAGCGGAGGACCGCGUUCUCGCUCUCCCCUG